GACGAACGCUGGCGGCGUGCCUAAUACAUGCAAGUAGAACGCACAGUUUAUACCGUAGCUUGCUACACCAUAGACUGUGAGUUGCGAACGGGUGAGUAACGCGUAGGUAACCUGCCUGGUAGCGGGGGAUAACUAUUGGAAACGAUAGCUAAUACCGCAUAAUAUUAAUUAUUGCAUGAUAAUUAAUUGAAAGGUGCAAUUGCACCACUACCAGAUGGACCUGCGUUGUAUUAGCUAGUAGGUGAGGUAACGGCUCACCUAGGCGACGAUACAUAGCCGACCUGAGAGGGUGGUCGGCCACACUGGGACUGAGACACGGCCCAGACUCCUACGGGAGGCAGCAGUAGGGAAUCUUCGGCAAUGGACGAAAGUCUGACCGAGCAACGCCGCGUGAGUGAAGAAGGUUGUCGGAUCGUAAAGCUCUGUUGUAAGAGAAGAACGGGUGUGAGAGUGGAAAGUUCACACUGUGACGGUAUCUUACCAGAAAGGGACGGCUAACUACGUG
rnacentral:rRNA from 1 species